rfam:Gossypium hirsutum cultivar TM-1 chromosome 8, whole genome shotgun sequence
AAUCCAUGGUGAGGGCACCUUCUUAACAAGUCCUUGUAUCUCUCUCAUGCGUCAUAAAGAGUUUCUAGAUUCAUCUGCACAAAAGAAGAGAUACCAUUCCUUAGUUU